rnacentral:rRNA from 1 species
GAUGAACGCUGGCGGCGUGCCUAAUACAUGCAAGUCGAGCGAACGGACGAGAAGCUUGCUUCUCUGAUGUUAGCGGCGGACGGGUGAGUAACACGUGGAUAACCUACCUAUAAGACUGGGAUAACUUCGGGAAACCGGAGCUAAUACCGGAUGAUAUUUUGAACCGCAUGGUUCAAAAGUGAAAGACGGUCUUGCUGUCACUUAUAGAUGGAUCCGCGCUGCAUUAGCUAGUUGGUAAGGUAACGGCUUACCAAGGCAACGAUGCAUAGCCGACCUGAGAGGGUGAUCGGCCACAUUGGGACUGAGACACGGCCCAAACUCCUACGGGAGGCAGCAGUAGGGAAUCUUCCGCAAUGGACGCAAGUCUGACGGAGCAACGCCGCGUGAGUGAAGAAGGUCUUCGGAUCGUAAAGCUCUGUUGUUAGAGAAGAACAGCGCAUAGAGUAACUGCUAUGCGUGUGACGGUAUCUAACCAGAAAGCCACGGCUAACUACGUG